GACGAACGCUGGCGGCGUGCUUAACACAUGCAAUUCGAACGGAAAGGCCCUGCUUUUGUGGGGUGCUCGAGUGGCGAACGGGUGAGUAACACGUGAGUAACCUGCCCUUUACUUUGGGAUAACUUCAGGAAACUGGGGCUAAUACCGGAUAGGAGCUCCUGCUGCAUGGUGGGGGUUGGACAGUUUCGGCGGUUGGAGAUGGACUCGCGGCUUAUCAGCUUGUUGGUGGGGUAGUGGCUUACCAAGGCUUUGACGGGUAGCCGGCCUGGGAGGGUGACCGGCCACAUUGGGACUGAGAUACGGCCCAGACUCGUACGGGAGGCAGCAGUGGGGAAUAUUGCACAAUGGGCGGGAGCCUGAUGCAGCAACGCCGCGUGCGGGAUGACGGCCUUCGGGUUGUAAACCGCUGUCGCCUGUGACGAAGCGUGAGUGACGGUAAUGGGUAAAGAAGCACCGGCUAACUACGUG
rnacentral:rRNA from 1 species